ACCUCCCCACAAAGCGCAACCUCCCCGUACCCACCUGCCACCUCCACCUUAUCUGCGCCUCCUCCCUCAUGAUAUCACACAGCCGAGCAUGUGUGUAACAAAAUCCAAAGUUUUUCUCUCCGCUACCUCUCUCCCCUGAUUCCUCUCUCUCAUCUCAACGUUGCCGCUGCCAACCCCGAUUCCGAGAAGGUCUGGCGCACUCCGCUGCUCGCUGUCCUGCCCCACUCCCUAAUGAUCUCCUCUGAUCCAUCGCCCCCGUGAUGUCCACCGCGCCCCUGCACACGCCCUCACAACAACCCUAGUUGCCGGUGCGGAUCAACGGCUCCUGUCUGCUGGCCCACUAUACCCCUGCAUCUCCAUACGAGCAGCUGCUGGCCUAGCCGCCCAGGCUUGACGAUGGUAAUCCGCCUCUGCUACCUUGACUCUAACAUUGACGGUACUCUGCCUAGGAGUCCUGCGCCAUAUUACUCCGACCAUUAUGACUAGACAAGACCUUGUUGAGAGUGAUUUCUCAAAAAGCCCAACCAUUUUGUUUGUCAGGUUGAUCUACAACACUUAUGCCUUGCAACUACGAGAAACCCAUCAAUAUGCAGAAGAAGCGUUGAGAAUUAUGGCACACUACGAUGGUGGGACGAUACUAGCAGUCAUUAACCAGACGACUAAGUGAUCAGAUGCGGCGACUGUCAGGUUAGCGAAACUCUAUUGUUCCAAGUCGGCAUUGUUGGCCCAAGAACCUACUAGCGCAAAGCUGUAUUUGCUAGGAGAUUGCUAAAAUAAAUUGAUGAUGCAUGGCUCAGAUGUCGAUUGCAAGGUCAAGAAUGGGGGUGCUACUAGAUAGUUUCACAUUGUGUUUUAGAAUGUCAUUUUCCAUGUCAGUGGUUCAACAAUUAUGUUUCACACAUUUUUCGUGUCCAAGUUUCAAUCAUUAUGUUUCAGAAUGGCUGAGACGUUGAUUGCAAGGUCAAGAAUCAGACUAGUACUAGUUUCACAUCUUUGUACACUUUGUAUUGUGUUCGUUGUAAUGCAACCAAGUUGAUCUAAUAUAUCAUGCAUUUAUGCUUAUUAUACUACA